rnacentral:tRNA from 1 species
GCACUCGUAGCUCAAUAGGAUAGAGCAGCUGCCUUCUAAGCAGCAGGUUGCAGGUUCGAAUCCUGUCGAGUGCA